UACGUAGGGUGCGAGCGUUGCCCGGAUUUAUUGGGCGUAAAGGGCGCGUAGGCGGUCGUGCACGUCCGUUGUGAAAUCGCUCGGCUCAACUGGGCGGGGUCAGCGGAUACGGCAUGACUUGAGCAAGCUAGGGGGCAAUGGAACUCCCGGUGUAGUGGUGGAAUGCGUAGAUAUCGGGAAGAACACCAGUGGCGAAGGCGGUUGCCUGGAGCUUUGCUGACGCUGAGGCGCGAAAGCGUGGGGAG
rnacentral:rRNA from 1 species